GGGAAGUCGUGUUAUGGAAAGAAUUUUAUGGGGUUGAUGUUAUUGCAUGUGAUACUUCAUGCUUGCCAUGGUACAUGAACCGCAAGUCACCAGAGAGCCUCGUGAAAUUAUCAACCAUCCAUCUCACCUUCUUUGCGUUUACCUUUCAUCUACCAUGAGCAUGUCUAAACCCAUGAGUUCACCUUCUUUCUUUGCAUUCCUAGCCUCCCCAACAGGAGAAAUCGCACCUCGACUGGUUAGGACAACAUUCGGCUUUCAAUUCAGUUAGAAGUAGGUCACUGUGGCCAUUGAAGAUAGCUGAACUGCAGAGAGAGGAUGCAAAAACAAAAUCGAUAAGAAGAGAGAAUGUGAAAUGAUUUGAUGAGAUUUGUGAUUUUUAGUGAAUCCAACUAUGGUAUUUAUAGUUAUAGGUGUAGUUUUCAGACGUUUCCAUGGUGGUGUGAGUGAACUAAUGAAUGCGAGAGAGUGGAAGAAGUGAUGAGAACGACAUUAAUGAGAUCAUUAUAGUGGUUGACUGAAUUCAGGGAGAAGGCAUUAUGUAAACCAAAAACAGUUUUUGUUGGAUAAUUUGUUCCGACCAUACAUGAUCGAAGAAGAAAUACUUAUGGGUCGAAAUUCUGGAAUAAUGAUAGGCCCAAACAAAUAAAUCAAAUGUAACAUGAGGCUUUCGUAAGUAGACAACCCAUUUUUCAAAAACAAAGAGUGAGGAAACAUCGCCACAUAUCACAUUUUGGAAUAGCCUUCGCUGAAGUGGCGUAUUAUAGAGCGUUUCUAGUCAGUUUUAUUAGUAUAGAUAUAUAUAUUUUAAAACGGCCUUAAUUAUUAAGAAGUAGAAGACAGUUUGUUCCCCACUUAAACCUCCCUGAAUCACACCCUCGUCCUAUGCAACUCUAGCGCGCAUGUCCCCUUGUGCUGGAAUGGUAUCGGAAAGAGUCGAUGGUGUAGAGGAAGUAACAAGAUAAGUUCCAAGAGAAUGGAUCACAUCGCUUGUACUUCCAUGGAAUCCACGUCCACUUAACAUGUCUAAGUUGAUUUGUAAUUGUUGAAAAUAUAGGUCACACCUUUACGUUUCAUGGGCUUUAAUUCUUCUUUAAAUACAUAUGUGGGCUAUAAAUCAACCAAAAAAUCUCGUCAAUGUAGUUAGAGUAUUUGCCCGAUCCAAUAAACUUGAAAUGGACAAAAAGCCUUUUAGUGUUCUGUUCUCUCCUAUUCCGCAGCAACGACUCGACGGCCUCACUCUCUCCCCUCCUGUCGUCAGCCACCAGCACCGGUACUCAUCAGACCGAUCUAGGAUUUUGUAUCGCACGGCAGCGUUAUGAGAGAGGAAGCCAUCCGAUGAAUUCUCGAGGGCAGUUGACCAAGACAUUGCAGAUUUCACCAUCAAUAUUAUUGCAAAGCCUUUGACGAUGGCAUUACUUGGAGAAGGGUUGAAUGUUCCAAGAUGCGACUCCGUAAGCAGUAGAUUUUCUUGAAGCUGCUCAAAGCAAAAGAUCUUACGAAAAGAGUAAAAUAAAAA